UACGAAGGGUGCAAGCGUUACUCGGAAUUACUGGGCGUAAGGCGUGCGUAGGCGGUUUGUUAAGUCCGCUGUGAAAGCCCUGGGCUCAACCUGGGAAUUGCAGUGGAUACUGGCAAGCUAGAGUGCGGUAGAGGAUGGUGGAAUUCCCGGUGUAGCGGUGAAAUGCGUAGAUAUCUGGAGGAACACCGGUGGCGAAGGCGGCAUCCUGGACCGACACUGACACUGAGGAGCGAAAGCCAGGGGAGCAAACGGG
rnacentral:rRNA from 1 species